rnacentral:rRNA from 1 species
AUUGAACGCUGGCGGCAUGCUUUACACAUGCAAGUCGGACGAGUGGCGAACGGGUGAGUAAUGUAUUUGAACGUACCGAGUAAUGGGGGAUAACCAAUCGAAAGAUUUGCUAAUACCGCAUUUUUUUCGAGCGGCCAAUAUCGGAUUAGCUAGUUGGUGGGGUAUAGGCCUACCAAGGCGACGAUCAGUAGCGGGUCUGAGAGGAUGAUCGGCCACACGGGGACUGAGACACGGCCCAGACGCCUACGGGAGGCAGCAGGGGGGAAUUUUGGACAAUGGGCGCAAGCCUGAUCCAGCCAUGCCGCGUGUAUGAAGAAGGCCUUCGGGUUGUAAAGGACUUUUGUUAGGGAGGCGGUACCUGGAGAAGAAGCACCGGCUAACUACGUGCCAGCAGCCGCGGUAAUAC